AUAUUACAGCCAACUAAUUAGGUAUCCUGCCCUGCGACGGAAGGCUGAGUUGGGCUGAGUCACGUUCGAAACGGCGUGAGGCUCGAUAAGUCAAGUCAUAUUUGAACUGGCGUGAGACCAGAUGGGCGAAGUCACAAUUGAGAUCCGCGGACGUUGUAUCUGUACGCUUUAAGUGAAUUGAUUGCGUAUUUUUAUCAGCUCAAACUUUUGGGAUUAAUGGUUAGCACGAACGAUCUGACAAAUGAUAUUAGAGCCAGAGGUUACGGGUUCGAUUCCCGAUUCCCGCAUGCUGCAAAUAUGUCCAGAUGCUGGAGGGAGGAUGG
rnacentral:lncRNA from 1 species